rnacentral:rRNA from 1 species
UACGAAGGGGGCUAGCGUUGCUCGGAAUCACUGGGCGUAAAGCGCACGUAGGCGGAUUGCUAAGUCAGGGGUGAAAUCCUGGAGCUCAACUCCAGAACUGCCUUUGAUACUGGAGAGCUUGAGUCCGGAAGAGGUGAGUGGAACUCCGAGUGUAGAGGUGAAAUUCGUAGAUAUUCGGAAGAACACCAGUGGCGAAGGCGGCUCACUGGUCCGGUACUGACGCUGAGGCACGAAGGCCAGGGGAGCAAACGGG